rnacentral:rRNA from 1 species
CCUACGGGUUGCAGCAGUGGGGAAUAUUGCACAAUGGGCGCAAGCCUGAUGCAGCCAUGCCGCGUGUAUGAAGAAGGCCUUCGGGUUGUAAAGUACUUCCAGCGAGGAGGAAGGCGAUAAGGUUAAUAACCUUGUCGAUUGACGUUACUCGCAGAAGAAGCACCGGCUAACUCUGUGCCAGCAGCCGCGGUAAUACGGAGGGUGCAAGCGUAAAUCGGAAUUACUGGGCGUAAAGCGCACGCAGGCGGUCUGUCAAGUCGGAUGUGAAAUCCCCGGGCUCAACCUGGGAACUGCAUUCGAGACUGGCAGGCUAGAGUCUUGUAGAGGGGGGUAGAGUUCCAGGUGUAGCGGUGAAAUGCGUAGAGAUCUGGAGGAAUACCGGUGGCGAAGGCGGCCCCCUGGACAAAGACUGACGCUCAGGUGCGAAGGCGUGGGGAGCAAACAGGAUUAGAUACCCCUGUAGUC